GUCCCCAGGUCAGCAGGUGGCACCAAAGUGGCACUAAAGGGUCCCCGGGGGGGAUUUCAGGGGGUUCUGAGCCUCUGAAUGGCACCAAAACUGUCCCCAAAGUGUUCACAAAUGUCCCCAAGUGUCCCCAGGGUGUUCUCAGGGUCCCCAAAGUGUCCCCAGGUCAGCAGGUGGCACUAAAGUGG